rnacentral:rRNA from 1 species
UACGUAGGGUGCGAAGCGUUGUCCGGAUUCACUGGGUUUAAAGGGUGCGUAGGCGGGUUGGUAAGUCCGUGGUGAAAUCUCCGAGCUUAACUCGGAAACUGCCGUGGAUACUAUCAAUCUUGAAUAUCGUGGAGGUAAGCGGAAUAUGUCAUGUAGCGGUGAAAUGCUUAGAUAUGACAUAGAACACCAAUUGCGUAGGCAGCUUACUACACGAUCAUUGACGCUGAGGCACGAAAGCGUGGGGAGCAAACAGG